CCUACGGGUGGCUGCAGUGGGGAAUAUUGCACAAUGGGGGAAACCCUGAUGCAGCCACGCCGCGUGAGUGAAGAAGUAUUUCGGUAUGUAAAGCUCUAUCAGCAGGGAAGAGAAUGCCGGUACCUGACUAAGAAGCACCGGCUAACUACGUGCCAGCAGCCGCGGUAAUACGUAGGGGGCAAGCGUUAUCCGGAUUUACUGGGGGUAAAGGGAGCGUAGACGGCUGUACAAGUCUGAAGGGAAAGCCCGCGGCUCAACCGCGGAAUUGGACAUAAAACUGGUAAGCUGGAGUGUAGGAGAGGGAAGGGGAAUUGCCGGGGGAGCGGUGGAAUGCGUAGAUAUCGGGAGGAACACCAGAGGCGAAGGCGACUUACUGGACUGUAACUGACGCUGAGGGUCGAAAGCGUGGGGAGCAAACAGGAUUAGAUACCCCGGGUAGUC
rnacentral:rRNA from 1 species